CGUGCAAUACAAAACUCAGAUCGGACAGAUAGUCUAGCUAGCUGUCUGAAUGUACCCUGCAGAGAUCUGAGGAGCAGUUAACCAUAGUACUCAAAAAUCCACUGGAGUUGAAAAUUCAAACACAAACUAAGCGGAAGGUGAUGGACAUCCGGC